AACUUGAAAUCGCAUUAUAUGACCCCUUUAACUUACUUUACUGUUAAGUACUAAGAAUGCAAGAAAUAUUGUGAUACCGAUACCAUACCGGCUAUAGGCCCAUGCUGUUAUUUAGCUGGAAGAAAUGUAUUCCUCAGAGAAUCAGCAUUGUAUAAAGCAAUUAAAUACCUAACUUUCACUAAACAUUGGUAAAAACCUUGCUAAAAUGUAUUAUAAAGACAGUACAGGUCAGGAAAAAAACGAAAACAAACAAACAUUCACAUUAACCGAUUUAUUUAUUUCUACAUGUCUAGUGACAUCCUGGAAUUUUCAAAGUACAUAAAGUUUAGACCAUUUU